AACGAACGCUGGCGGCAGGCUUAAACCAUGCAAGUCGAGCGCCCCGCAAGGGGAGCGGCCGACGGGUGAGUACCGCGUGGGAACGUACCUUUUGGUUCGGAACAACUCCGGGAAACUGGAGCUAAUACCGGAUAAGCCCUAACGGGGAAAGAUUUAUCGCCGAAAGAUCGGCCCGCGUCUGAUUAGCUAGUUGGUGAGGUAACGGCUCACCAAGGCGACGAUCAGUAGCUGGUCUGAGAGGAUGAUCAGCCACACUGGGACUGAGACACGGCCCAGACUCCUACGGGAGGCAGCAGUGGGGAAUAUUGGACAAUGGGCGCAAGCCUGAUCCAGCCAUGCCGCGUGAGUGAUGAAGGCCUUAGGGUUGUAAAGCUCUUUUGUCCGGGAAGAUAAUGACUGUACCGGAAGAAUAAGCCCCGGCUAACUUCGUG
rnacentral:rRNA from 1 species